AGGGAAUCUUCGGCAAUGGGCGAAAGCCUGACCGAGCAACGCCGCGUGAAUGAUGAAGGCCUUCGGGUUGUAAAAUUCUGUUAUAAGGGAAGAAUGGCUCUAGUAGGAAAUGGCUAGAGUGUGACGGUACCUUAUGAGAAAGCCACGGCUAACUACGUGCCAGCAGCCGCGGUAAUACGUAGGUGGCGAGCGUUAUCCGGAAUUAUUGGGCGUAAAGAGCGCGCAGGUGGUUGAUUAAGUCUGAUGUGAAAGCCCACGGCUUAACCGUGGAGGGUCAUUGGAAACUGGUCAACUUGAGUGCAGAAGAGGGAAGUGGAAUUCCAUGUGUAGCGGUGAAAUGCGUAGAGAUAUGGAGGAACACCAGUGGCGAAGGCGGCUUCCUGGUCUGUAACUGACACUGAGGCGCGAAAGCGUGGGGAGCAAAC
rnacentral:rRNA from 1 species